GCAGGUGGGAAAUAAGUACUUCCGGUUUUAAUGCCGCAAACCGGAAAUGAACCUCCAUAGCGUUUUUUGUUUGUUUUUUUUGCUCGACAUAAUUCUUCAUUCAUCACUCCAAGCGACGUUUCAGGGCACGGCGGCCACGGAUGGCGGAGAAAAGAGGAAAAGAGGACGUCCGCGGCGACGGAGGAGGGUCUUAAACGCCGCCAGCCAGCCAGCAAGUCGGCCAGUCAAUGGUUUGGGGAAAGAAGCAAGCACAAAAGAAGGCACGUCCGACCGGUAGGAGACUACGGGGAAGACCACCUGGGGAGAUUGAAGACCAGGCUGCCCUGCUUAGGCUGCUGCCCCCGCGACCCGACUUUGGACGCGGAGUCAUGACCCCGGGACCCGUGGCAGGGAUUUCUAUUCAGACCGGAAUCAUAAAGCUGCCCGGCGACAAAUAAAUCAUUUCUGCUGGUCACUUUAAAGAACAAUCAGGGUGACACAUCGCCCGCUGCCAACAACCCCGACGAGCUGACAGAUGACACCGCCGUCUUUCCGGACUGACAGAGGCUCGGGGGAGCCUGGCUGCCCUGAUGGAACCAUUGCUGCGGGGUACGUGAGAGAUUCCUGGAAUACUUGGAGAAUCAUGUGCCUCUCAGUCCUUUCCAUCGAGGACGUGGAAGACAUCUACCUAUUUGGAGCCGUGAUCGCAGGGCAUUUGCUGAUUGGGCUGGGCAUUGCUCUGGUGUAUCGUCAAAUUCGGAAGACGAUGGCAGCCACUCAAGGGGCCAACAGGCUGUUCAACGCAAUGGAAGGAUUGGGUCGUGCUGUGGGAUCACAGACUGGAGCGAUUGCUGAUUUGAAUCGCAAGGUAGAUUCCAUCUUGAUGAUGUUACAGAAAGAAUAAAUUGGAAUUGUCAGAGCCAGCAUACAGAGCAGGAAUGUCAUUGUUUUGACUGCUCGAAGAAAAAACAACAUCUUAAUCUACGAUUUGACUCCCUCGAAUGGCCUUGAGGAACAGGCUGUUUGAAAACACUCCCCUGAGGACUCCUCAAAGAUGGACGCUUUUGACCUUUCCCUUUUUUUCAAAAGCACCUGGGUCGGACUCUUGAACUCUUGAACUCUUGGGGCCGGCCUCGGCCCAUAAAGACAAUCCAACAUCUCACCCAAGUUAAUUGGGCAUACAUGCACGCACAUACCCUUCCCCAAUCAACGCCUUCACCACUGCUUAAUUCCUCCGGGGUUGUGGGGGCUGAGUAGCGCUCAACAGCAGCUGCCGGCCUCCAAAGUCCUGUUGGAUGACUCUGUUGCGAGUUGUUGUGAUUACAUGUACCAUGUUUAUGUGUGCCAUGCUAUGUGAGGUUUUUUUCCUCGGACUCAGUCUGGACCAUUCCUGAGGGUCCAGCCUCAGACUGAUAUUUUUUUUUACUUCCCCCCUCCCCCAAUGUCACCUUUUUCCCACCUUUUUAAGGAGCGCCUAAGUGAGGCUGAUCCGUUGGCGGUCCCGUCUUGUCUCCCUGUAACGUAUGUCUGCUCUUAGCGGGAUUGUGCCGAAAAUGUAAUUUCAGUUCUUAUGUGUCUUGUACAUGUAAGAAUGGACAAUA